rnacentral:rRNA from 1 species
AGCAGCCGCGGUAAUUCCAGCUCCAAUAGCGUAUAUUAAAGUUGUUGCAGUUAAAAAGCUCGUAGUUGAAUUUCGGGGUUAGUACGCUGGUCAUGCCUUCGGUAUGUACUGGUGUUACCGAUUCCUACCUUCUGAAGAACCGUCAUGUCAUUAGUUUGGUGUGGCGGGGAAUCAGGACUGUUACUUUGAAAAAAUUAGAGUGUUUAAAGCAGGCUCGCGCUUGAAUACAUUAGCAUGGAAUAAUGAAAUAGGACGUUCGAUCCUAUUUUGUUGGUUUCUAGGAUUGACGUAAUGAUUAAUAGGGAUAGUUGGGGGCAUUAGUAUUCAAUUGUCAGAGGUGAAAUUCUUGGAUUUAUUGAAGACUAACUACUGCGAAAGCAUUUGCCAAGGAUGUUUUCAUUAAUCAAGAACGAAAGUUAGGGGAUCGAAGACGAUCAGAUACCGUCGUAGUCUUAACCAUAAACUAUGCCGACCAGGGAUCGGAUGAUGUUAAUUUUUAAUGACUCAUUCGGCGCCUUAC